UAGGGAAUCUUCCACAAUGGACACAAGUCUGAUGGAGCAACGCCGCGUGAGUGAAGAAGGUUUUCGGACCGUAAAGCUCUGUUGUUGGUGAAGAAGGAUAGAGGUAGUAACUGGCCUUUAUUUGACGGUAAUCAACCAGAAAGUCACGGCUAACUACGUGCCAGCAGCCGCGGUAAUACGUAGGUGGCAAGCGUUGUCCGGAUUUAUUGGGCGUAAAGCGAGCGCAGGCGGAAGAAUAAGUCUGAUGUGAAAGCCCUCGGCUUAACCGAGGAAUUGCAUCGGAAACUGUUUUCUUGAGUGCAGAAGAGGAGAGUAGAACUCCAUGUGUAGCGGUGGAAUGCGUAGAUAUAUGGAAGAAUACCAGUGGCGAAGGCGGCUCUCUGGUCUGCAACUGACGCUGAGGCUCGAAAGCAUGGGUAGCGAACAGGAUUAGAUACCCUGGUAGUCCAUGCCGUAAACGAUGAGUGCUAAGUGUUGGGAGGCUUCCGCCUGCUUAGUGCUGCAGCUAACGC
rnacentral:rRNA from 1 species